rnacentral:rRNA from 1 species
UACGUAGGGUGCGAGCGUUGUCCGGAAUUAUUGGGCGUAAAGAGCUUGUAGGCGGUUUGUCGCGUCGGUUGUGAAAGCCCGGGGCUUAACCCCGGGUCUGCAGUCGAUACGGGCAGGCUAGAGUUCGGUAGGGGAGAUCGGAAUUCCUGGUGUAGCGGUGAAAUGCGCAGAUAUCAGGAGGAACACCGAUGGCGAAGGCAGGUCUCUGGGCCGAUACUGACGCUGAGGAGCGAAAGCGUGGGGAGCGAACAGG